CCUACGGUGUGCUGCAGUGGGGAAUAUUGGACAAUGGGCGAAAGCCUGAUCCAGCCAUGCCGCGUGUGUGAAGAAGGCCUUCGGGUUGUAAAGCACUUUCAGUGGGGAAGAAAGCCUUGGGGCUAAUACCCUCGAGGAAGGACAUCACCCACAGAAGAAGCACCGGCUAACUCCGUGCCAGCAGCCGCGGUAAUACGGAGGGUGCGAGCGUUAAUCGGAAUUACUGGGCGUAAAGCGCGCGUAGGCGGUCUGAUAAGCCGGUUGUGAAAGCCCCGGGCUCAACCUGGGAACGGCAUCCGGAACUGUCAGGCUAGAGUGCAGGAGAGGAAGGUAGAAUUCCCGGUGUAGCGGUGAAAUGCGUAGAGAUCGGGAGGAAUACCAGUGGCGAAGGCGGCCUUCUGGACUGACACUGACGCUGAGGUGCGAAAGCGUGGGUAGCAAACAGGAUUAGAUACCCCGGUAGUC
rnacentral:rRNA from 1 species